rnacentral:tRNA from 1 species
GGAGAGGUGGCCGAGUGGCUGAAGGCGCACGCUUGGAAAGCGUGUAGAUGACUAAAACCAUCUCGGGGGUUCGAAUCCCCCUCUCUCCG